rnacentral:rRNA from 1 species
UACGGAGGGUGCAAGCGUUAUCCGGAAUCACUGGGUUUAAAGGGUGCGUAGGCGGUGGCGUAAGUCAGUUGUGAAAUUCCCCGGCUUAACCGGCGGGAGUGCGAUUGAUACUGCGUCACUUGAAUAGGGUUGAGGUAGGCGGAAUACGACAUGUAGCGGUGAAAUGCAUAGAUAUGUCGUAGAACACCGAUUGCGAAGGCAGCUUGCUGGACCCUAAUUGACGCUGAGGCACGAAAGCGUGGGGAGCAAACAGG